ACUUUAUUUAUGUGAGCCUAUGUUGUCACAGCAGUUUGGUCAGUUGCAUUUAAGAAUUGGUAUACCAAGAUUCAUAGUUCAACUGAACUUUAAGUAAUUCCAUGAAACCCUUUUUAUCUGCCUUUUAUUAUGUUUAGUCCACACGUAAUGUCAUCUAUUCAAUCAAAAUCAGAAAUCAAGUUUGUUGGCAAAAGUCAGAAGCAGCAGUUUACUUCAUAUUGUUUACAAUGAAACACACAAAAUAGAAUGGAUGGCAUGGAAUCUGGUUUUCUUCAUGUCCUUUAAUCUAAGUCUGGCAGCCAAUUAGAAUUGGUCAGUGACCCCAUCGCAUGUCCGCAGCAUCAUUACUCAACAGCAAUAGGGUGGUAAUAGUGGUCUCAGCAAUGGGUCAUUCAAGGUCAACGCAAACACACUAGCCAAAAACCCUACUGUACAAUAGCUACCCCAUAGCCCAGCCCCACUCCACUGGAUUGGCCAGCUUCCAGGCCAAAUUAAUGAUGUCAUCCCCCACCACACCCCCACACCUCCUCCUCCCAUGUCCAGUGGGACUGGCUCUCCUUGUGCUGAUGACAUCACCAUUUUAGGCAAUAAAACCCAAUUUCUUUCUUUGGAUUUGGUUCAGUCUCCUUCUCGUAACGCCGCGUAAAUGACCUGGUUACCGUGUUGUUCCUUUACAGAAGCUGACUUCAGCUGUCUUGAUUCUGACAAACGUAAUCAUUUGUUCAUUCAGAGUUUAAUCUGAUCAACCAGUUGCUUAAUCUGGAAUGACAUGAGGCUGGCACAGCAGCAGAAUGCUCCUCACCGAGGGUUCACAGGAUGUCCAUUAGAUGAUCGUGAUGAUGUUAGAUCAGUGGGCAUGUUACUGGAGGGUCUUGUUCUUCCUGUAUGGUCACAUCAGUCCCAGUACAGCUGGCUCCCUCCUGUUUAUUCUAGUAAAGAACGUGUGUGUAUCUGUGUGUGUGUGUGUGUAUGUGUGUGAGUGCUGUCUUGUGUCUGUGUUUGUAUGUGUGUCUGUGUCUGCAGGCUUGUGUCUGUGUGUGUGUUUGUAGGUGCAGGCGAAUGUCUGUGUGUGUAUCUGUGUGUGUGUUUGUAUGUAUGUGUCUGCGUGUGUUUGUAGGUGCAGGCGAAUGUCUGUGUGUGAAUCUGUGUGUGUGUUUGUAUGUAUGUGUCUGCGUGUGUUUGUAGGUGCAGGCGAAUGUCUGUGUGUGAAUCUGUGUGUGUGCAGGCUUGCAUCUGUUUGUGUGUGUGUGUGUAUAAAGCUUUAGGUCUCUGUUUGUGUGUGUGUGUGCUUGUGUGUGGGCGUGUUGGGUGUGUACAUGAGGAUGAGUGAAGCAUAUGAAACGAGGAUGCAGCCAGUUCACUGGCCUUUCUGCUGACUGCUGAGCAGAACCUAAUUAGGCAAUGUAGUGAGUCUGACUCACCGGACAGCUGAGAGGGUGGGGGGUAGAACUGCCCCUCCCACUGUUGUCAUAACGAGAGACAGAGAAACAGAGGGACAAAAACAGAGAUAGAGAGAGACAGAGAGACAGAGAGAGACAGAGAGACAGAGAGAGACAUACAGAGAUAGAGAGAGACAGAGAGAGAGAGAGAGAGAGGGAGAAGGCAGGUGACAUAAACAGCAAGAGGGAGUUAUGUACAUUGUUACGUUGUGCCAGUAAUGUCAUUUGAAUAUGAUGGAGAGAGAGUGGCAGGUAGAUACAGACACAAAAAACACACACACACACACACACAGAUAGGGAGGUAGAGACAGACACACACACACACACACACACAGAUAGGGAGGUAGAGACAGACACACACACACACACACACACACAGAUAGGGAGGUAGAGACAGACACACACACACAGAUAGGGAGGUAGAGACAGACACACACACACACACACACACAGAUAGGGAGGUAGAGACAGACACACACACACACAGAUUGGGAGGUAGAGACAGAGACACACACACACACACAGAUAGGGAGGUAGAGACACACACACACACACACACAGAUAGGGAGGUAGAGACAGACACACACACACACACACACACAGAUAGGGAGGUAGAGACAGACACACACACACACACACACAGAUAGGGAGGUAGAGACAGAGACACACACACACACACACACACAGAUAGGUAGGUAGAGACACACACACACACACACACACAGAGGGAGAAAACAAAGACAGAGAGGAAGUUCUGAACCCUUGACCUAAUCUACCUCCUUCCCAUUUACCUGCGUUGCAGAGUUAGUGUGACCCUCCAAACCCUGGUAUCAUCAGACAUAUCCAUCCCAUGAAUGUUACCAUAUUAUGAUAUCAUCAGACUUAUCCAUCCCAUGAAUGUUACCAUAUUAUGAUAUCAUCAGACUUAUCCAUCCCAUGAAUGUUACCAUAUUAUGAUAUCAUCAGACUUAUCCAUCCCAUGAAUGUUACCAUAUUAUGAUAUCAUCAGACUUAUCCAUCCCAUGAAUGUUACCAUAUUAUGAUAUCAUCAGACUUAUCCAUCCCAUGAAUGUUACCAUAUUAUGCAACUACUGCUUUUUUAUUGAGGUCUGCAGACUUAUAAUGAGGUCAGGCCC
ensembl:lncRNA